UGGGGGCAUAAGCUAACGGUAAACUGCUGGUCUCCAAAACCAGCUUUGGAGGUUCAAAUCCUUCUGCCCCUGU
rnacentral:tRNA from 1 species